rnacentral:rRNA from 1 species
GACAGAGGGUGCAAACGUUGUUCGGAAUUACUGGGCGUAAAGCGCGUGUAGGCGGCCAUCUAAGUCGGGCGUGAAAUCCCACGGCUCAACCGUGGAAGUGCACUCGAAACUGGAUGGCUAGAGUCCUGGAGAGGAAGGUGGAAUGCUUGGUGUAGAGGUGAAAUUCGUAGAUAUCAAGCGGAACACCGGUGGCGAAGGCGGCAUCCUGGCCAUGUACUGACGCUCAGGGGCGAAAGCGUGGGGAGCAAACCGG